rnacentral:rRNA from 1 species
UAGGGAAUCUUCGGCAAUGGACGGAAGUUCUGGACCGAGCAACCNNNCGUGAGUGAAGAAGGUUUUCGGAUCGUAAAGCUCUGUUGUAAGAGAAGAACGAGUGUGAGAGUGGAAAAUUCACACUGUGACGGUAUCUUACCAGAAAGGGACGGCUAACUACGUGCCAGCAGCCGCGGUAAUACGUAGGUCCCGAGCGUUGUCCGGAUUUAUUGGGCGUAAAGCGAGCGCAGGCGGUUAGAUAAGUCUGAAGUUAAAGGCUGUGGCUUAACCAUAGUAGGCUUUGGAAACUGUUUAACUUGAGUGCAAGAGGGGAGAGUGGAAUUCCAUGUGUAGCGGUGAAAUGCGUAGAUAUAUGGAGGAACACCGGUGGCGAAAGCGGCUCUCUGGCUUGUAACUGACGCUGAGGCUCGAAAGCGUGGGGAGCAAACAGGAUUAGAUACCCUGGUAGUCCACGCUGUAAACGAUGAGUGCUAGGUGUUAGACCCUUUCCGGGGUUUAGUGCCGUAGCUAACGCAUUAAGCACUCCGCCUGGGGAGUACGACCGCAAGNU